GUCUCACUUUAAUUUAAUUUGAAUUUUAUCUCUAAGUUAAAAGGCUUAGAUUUUAUAGAAAGACGAGAAGACCCUAUAGAGUUUAAUGUAUUUAUAUUUUAGCUAUUAAAAGAUUUUAAAUUAGUUGAUUUAUUAUUCAUUUUGUUGGGGUGACAUAAGAAUUGAAUUAACUUCUUUAAAUUUUUACACUGAUUAGUGAUUAAAGGAUCCUAUGAGAUUGGAUUUAAAGAAUAAAUUACCUUAGGGAUAACAGCGUAAUUCUUUUAGAGAGUUCUUAUCGAUAAAAGGGAUUGCGACCUCGAUGUUGGAUUAAAGUUAAGUCUUGGUGUAGAGGCUAGGAUUUUG
rnacentral:rRNA from 1 species